UUGUGUUGUUGUUGUUGUUGUUGUUGUUGUCAGAUAAGAGCCCACUAAUCUCUCUAUCUGUUUCUAUCUAUUCGCCUCUUUGCUUUAUAUUUGUUUACUUUACCAAGAAAUAAAUAAAAUGCAUUCGACGUAAAUACGAAAAAAACAAAAAAUAGAAUAGAAAAUUGUAGAAAAAAAAAAAAACUAAAGUCGCCGCGAUGCAAACAAGCGACGAUCAUAAACAUUUAAUUAACUUUUAUGAACUGUGUAAAUAGUGAGUUAAAUGCAUUAACAGCAGAGUACAGAGAACUCCAAACACUUAGAUACACUAACAAUUAGGUAUUUUAGUUGUCAUAUUUAGUUACAGC